CGGGGAAAGAGCGAGGGCGGGCGGGUGUGCGCCGUUCGGCCUGGAAAUCCGAUUGGUUAUCGAUUCCCGCGGAAAUCACCCCGGUACCUCUCCCGCCCUCUGGCCGGCCUAUGGCGAUAAUUUCACAGAGACUUGUGUGGCUGCAGUUUUGCUUUAUUGAAGUUGAACGGUUGGGGCCAGGCUGCGGAGGAGACUGACAGCGCGACAAGGUGCUGGACAGAUACCCGCGCGGGAAAGGAAGACUGGCUUAGGAGGGGGCGUCAGCUAUGGUUUAGCAGCUUCCUGCGACCGAAACCUACAUCACAGCCGCGGCACACAAUUCCAGGAAACCUGGUACUCAAUAUUGGGAUCUCAGGAAUCCGGUCCGGCGGCUGAGGUGAAAGUCUAGCGGUCAGAGCGCAGGAGUGAGGAAGAAGCUAUUAGAGACGCUUUGCAAGUGGCCCCAGGGCUUCAUAUGGAUGAUUCAAGAGGGAAUCUCCUGGCCAGAAAGCUCACAUGUUUCACUCUUUCUGGCCUUCAUACCCACCCUCCACCUAGGGCCACUGACUCCACUGUUUUCAAAUACAUUGGGCACCCUGCACUGGGGACUGCUCUCUAGCACCUGGGCAGGAGAGGCACAGACACUGCUACCCAUGCGGAGCAGGGAUCACCAGAGCGUUGACUGAGUUUGCUCGUCCAGGAGGCUGGGGACAUGCGUGCCCAUGCUCAGCCCACCCCCUCUGUAGACACAAUUGGUCCCCCAUUCUGUUUAUAGGAAGUCUUCCACCCUGCACCAGCAGCUGUCCCUAGACAGGGAUUGGGAGACAUGCACGUGGCUUGGCUUCCUAUUACCUCGUGUUGAAAACACAAUAGGCUUUGGGAUCAGGAGUUAGUGUUAUUUACUAGCAGUGUGCCCUCGUGCACAUUAUCAAACUCCUCUGACUCUUGGAAUCCUCAUUUUUCAAUAAUAACUCACAAAGCUGGCAAGCCUAAGGGAUCUAACAGCUCGAACAGCACCUGGAACAGAAGCAAUAGCCGCCACUCAGAGGUUAUGUCUUCCUUCUUCACCUUCUCUGGAUCACCUCCCUACCUCAUCCUCAAUUUAACGCUGGAAAUACUGGAUAUGGGGUCCUUCAAUCUCAAAUCAAAUAAUCUGUGGAGGCCCUUCCAGCUCUCUAGGUCUUGGCGUGUGUGGAAUAGCCAGGAAACCAGCCCAGGAGCCUUGACUCACAGCCAUUCUCCCAUUUUCCAGGUGGAGGGAGAAAGUGCACACAGGCGCACCAAAGCCACAGGGACACGACUGCUUGAGAAACAAUUGUACAGGCAAAAGCCCAGCACAGUGGCCAGAGGCCCUGAUAGCUCCUGUCCUCUUCUAGAUAAACCCCACAUCGGCCAGGGCCUUCCUCUACCCUCUGCUGAUCCUAACUCGUUAAACUUAGUUUGCAAGUUUCCUGCCAGGAAUUAGCCCAGUGGCUGGGAGGCGGUAGGCAGGGGAACCCUUUUUCCUUGUAACAGCAACAACCCGAGGCAGCCCAUACCCCAAAAACAGCCUGUCAGAAGUUGCCAGCGCUCUGUGUAGCAAGGAAUUGCAGAUUCCCUCCUCACACCUCGGUCCCAAUCCCAUGACCCUCCCGACCCUCACACCCACACCUGUCUCAGGAGUUCGUCGCUCACCUGUCUCCACAGACUGCAGAAAGUAGAUGGGGUGGGGGUUGGGGGAAGGGCCGGAGCAGGUAGGUGGAGCCCACUGGCCCCACCCUCUUUUUCUGUUCCAAUCCCUCUGUUCUGGCCCAGUCAGUCUCCGCCCCUUUUCUCCCUAAGGCUGACUUCCAACUGCUGCACCUUGAUUUGUUCUGGUUUUUACUCUCUCCACCCACCCCCACUGUGCCCUAAUGAGAGUGCACCCCUUACUCCCAAUGAUCUUUGUACUUAGGACCAGAGUUAGCAUUAACCUUUCCCUGUCAGCGCAUAUUGUAUGUUAACUACAGCCCUGGGCAGUUUGCCUUCUAUUUGGUAAUUUACCUUGUGCCUCCCUCCCAAGUGACUGGAAGCAGAGACCUCGGCUUAUUUAAUCUCUGUAGAUCAGCACACAGUGCAUUGCACACAGGAAGCAAUGCUGUGGGCAUGGAAUGGUGUGUCCUGCUUCCAUUGCCCAAGUGCUAUUUUUGUGGACUCCCCGUUUUCUGCAGACCUGUCAGAAGUGUUUGUGUGUAUACUUCUUGACCCAGUUAACUCCUGAGUCUUCAAGAUCCUCCUCCAAGGUGAUGCUGCUUUGGAGCCUGCUCCAGUGUAUCCACACUGUUCCUUCCUAAAUCUGUUCCACCAUUUACCUGAUUAUGUAGCAUAUUUCUGUUUACUGAUUUUCCUUCCACUGUGAGUUUCUCAAGGUGCAUGAUUAUUUUUAAUCAUCUCUGAAUCCUGGAACUAACAUGGUUCCUGACACGUGGUAGGGCACUAACUAGAAGGCUCCCCUCUCACCAGGCCUCACCACACCUGUGAAGAUCCUGGAGCCAUUCUUUUCAGUUGUGGGUCAGGUAGUUAAGUCCGAGUAGGGGAGGUGCUUGGAGGUAGAGGGUGGGUAGAAUCAUACUUUGUCCUUGAGCCAGAGGGUGAACAAGACUGGGCCCCAUUCCUUCAGAGGGUGACCAGCAGACAGACCGAGGGGAGCUGCAGACCAUGGGCACAAAUCCAAUCCAGGCUUCCCAGGGACAGCUGGGGUGGGGGAGCAUAGCAGAGGGUGUGUGUGUGUGUGUGUGUGUGUGUGUGUGUGUGUGUAUGUGUGUGUGUGAGAGAGGAGACAGUAUGAGAAUAAGGAUAACUGUGUCUGUAGUGGUAUAUAUAUGUGGGCACUGGUGGGAUAUUGAAGAUUCUCUGUCCCAUAGCCCCAGAUCGAUAGCGGAGAGAGGAAGGAGACAUAACAGGAAGGCUGUGGAAGUCUAAAUGAGGUGUGCCUCUACGCAAAGUAGGCACGGAAGUAAGAGGGGGCUGAUUGUUGUUUUGUUUUAGCCAAUUCCUCACUGUUCUGCUCAUAAGGGGAAAGUACAGCUGGAAUCAGGACUUCAGUCUACAGUUAACAUAUGAAUAGAAGGAAAUUGGCCAACGGUCAUUGGUGUGUGUGAUAGGAAAGGGGUUUGUUAAGGAGUGAGUUGUGGGGAUGGGAAGGUGCAGGCUAAGUGGCACAGGGCCAAAGGGUAUGGGCCUGAGGUGUCAGGGGAGAGUCUGGGAGAGGCUGGACCUUUGUAGCUUAAGUCUCUUGGUUGCCUGAAGGACAGUGCAAUAGAUAAGAACUGGAUCCCAACUGGAGAGGCUAGACUGCUGACUGGCUGUGCCCGUUCAUACAGUCUCAAUUCCAGUAAUGUAAAAUCAAGUUUUUAAAAAUUGCAUUUGUUAAAAAAUAAACAUGACAAUAUUUAAAAGCUAAA